rnacentral:rRNA from 1 species
GACGAACGCUGGCGGCGUGCUUAACCCAUGCAAGUCGAACGGAAAGGCCCUGCUUUUGUGGGGUGCUCGAGUGGCGAACGGGUGAGUAACACGUGAGUAAACUGCCCUUGUCUUUGGGAUAACUUCAGGAAACUGGGGCUAAUACCGGAUAGGAGCUCCUGCUGCACGGUGGGGGUUGGAAAGUUUCGGCGGUUGGGGAUGGACUCGCGGCUUAUCAGCUUGUUGGUGGGGUAGUGGCUUACCAAGGCUUUGACGGGUAGCCGGCCUGAGAGGGUGACCGGCCACAUUGGGACUGAGAUACGGCCCAGACGCCUACGGGAGGCAGCAGUGGAGAAUAUUGCACAAUGGGCGGAAGCCUGAUGCAGCAACGCCGCGUGCGUGAUGACGGCCUUCGGGUUGUAAACCGCUUUCUCCUGUGACGAAGCGUGAGUGACGGUAAUGGGUAAAGAAGCACCGGCUAACUACGUG